rnacentral:rRNA from 1 species
AUUGAACGCUGGCGGCAUGCUUUACACAUGCAAGUCGGACGAGUGGCGGACGGGGGAGUAAUGUAUGGGAAAGUACCGGGUAAUGGGGGAUAACUAAUCGAAAGAUUAGCUAAUACCGCAUAUUAUUGGAGCGGCCGAUAUUGGAUUAGCUAGUUGGUGGGGUAAAGGCCUACAAAGGAGACGAUCAGUAGCGGGUCUGAGAGGAUGAUCCGCCACACUGGGACUGAGACACGGCCCAGACUCCUACGGGAGGCAGCAGUGGGGAAUUUUGGACAAUGGGCGCAAGCCUGAUCCAGCCAUGCCGCGUGUCUGAAGAAGGCCUUCGGGUUGUAAAGGACUUUUGUCAGGGAAGCGGUACCUGAAGAAUAAGCACCGGCUAACUCCGUGCCAGCAGCCGCGGUAAUAC